CUGGCGGCUGCUCUCUGCUAUCUGUAAAGGAAAAUGCAGAUUAGACUCGAAAAAAUAAACUCGCUCCCCCUGCAACAGACUGGUCGACUGGACAGCAGCUGAUCCAGCUGGAAGGAGAAGACGGCUGGCACCGAUCACCUAAACAUACAUACUGACCUUUAUCAAGUUUAUUAACAGAAAUAAUUAAUUAAUUUAAUCAAAGAGGUAAGAAUAAUUUCUAAGAUCUUGCCGAAAUUUCGGCGGAGUUUCUCCUACAAUUGGACCUAACUUCCCUUUGGAAAUUCUACUAUCUGGAAUGCGUCAGAAAUUCCUAAAAAUGCUAGGAACAAUUGUAAGCACGACCCUUUUCCGGGACAGCCCACCGGACACUUGAACCAGGCUGAAAACUCGAUCCCGAGUGCUAGUGAGCUAUCGCCGAUCCGAUCGCACCUUUUUUAAACGGUGUCCUAUCAAAGUGAGGUUGGUUCCAUCUCGUAGGUUUCGUCGCUCUGCGUUCAAAGAUAGUCCCGGAUCAUCAAUCCAACAGUCAGAUCGUCCUAGAUCUGAUCUGAAAGCUUAAAAAUUAUGAAACUUCUCUCCUCCAUAACUUUUUCCUCCGAUCACCAUUUGAAGCGAAAUUGGUCCCAAAAGAAAGCUCAUGGAAUG
rnacentral:misc_RNA from 1 species